rnacentral:tRNA from 1 species
CCUGAUAGCUCAAAUGGUAAAGAUUCUGCCUACAAUGCAGAAGACCUGGGGUUCAAUCCCUAGGUCAGGA